rnacentral:rRNA from 1 species
AUUGAACGCUGGCGGCAGGCCUAACACAUGCAAGUCGAACGGUAACAGGAAGAAGCUCGCUUCUUUGCUGACGAGUGGCGGACGGGUGAGUAAUGUCUGGGAAACUGCCUGAUGGAGGGGGAUAACUACUGGAAACGGUAGCUAAUACCGCAUAACGUCGCAAGACCAAAGAGGGGGACCUUCGGGCCUCUUGCCAUCGGAUGUGCCCAGAUGGGAUUAGCUAGUAGGUGGGGUAACGGCUCACCUAGGCGACGAUCCCUAGCUGGUCUGAGAGGAUGACCAGCCACACUGGAACUGAGACACGGUCCAGACUCCUACGGGAGGCAGCAGUGGGGAAUAUUGCACAAAGGGCGCAAGCCUGAUGCAGCCAUGCCGCGUGUAUGAAGAAGGCCUUCGGGUUGUAAAGUACUUUCAGCGGGGAGGAAGGGAGUAAAGUUAAUACCUUUGCUCAUUGACGUUACCCGCAGAAGAAGCACCGGCUAACUCCGUG